GGUUCCAUAGUGUAGUGGUUAGUACGUUUGCUUUACACGCGGAAGAUCCGGGGUUCGAUCCCCAGUGGAGUCA